AAAUUGAAGAGUUUGAUCAUGGCUCAGAUUGAACGCUGGCGGCAGGCCUAACACAUGCAAGUCGAACGGUAACAGGAAGCAGCUUGCUGCUUUGCUGACGAGUGGCGGACGGGUGAGUAAUGUCUGGGAAACUGCCUGAUGGAGGGGGAUAACUACUGGAAACGGUAGCUAAUACCGCAUAACGUCGCAAGACCAAAGAGGGGGACCUUCGGGCCUCUUGCCAUCGGAUGUGCCCAGAUGGGAUUAGCUAGUAGGUGGGGUAACGGCUCACCUAGGCGACGAUCCCUAGCUGGUCUGAGAGGAUGACCAGCCACACUGGAACUGAGACACGGUCCAGACUCCUACGGGAGGCAGCAGUGGGGAAUAUUGCAC
rnacentral:rRNA from 1 species